rnacentral:rRNA from 1 species
ACAGAGGGGGCAAGCGUUAUUCGGAAUUAUUGGGCGUAAAGGGCGCGUAGGCGGCCCUUCAAGUGGUAGGUGAAAUCCCUCGGCUCAACCGAGGAGCUGCCCGCCAAACUGAAGAGCUUGAGUCCGGGAGAGGUGAGUGGAAUUCCCAGUGUAGCGGUGAAAUGCGUAGAUAUUGGGAGGAACACCAGUGGCGAAGGCGGCUCACUGGACCGGAACUGACGCUGAGGCGCGAAAGCGUGGGGAGCAAACGGGAUUAGAUACCCCGGUAGUCCACGCUGUAAACGAUGAGUGCUUGGUGUAGCGGGUAUCGACCCCUGCUGUGCCGAAGCUAACGCAUUAAGCACUCCGCCUGGGGAGUACGGUCGCAAGGCUG